rnacentral:rRNA from 1 species
AUUGAACGCUGGCGGCAGGCCUAACACAUGCAAGUCGAACGGUAACAGGAAGCAGCUUGCUGCUUCGCCGACGAGUGGCGGACGGGUGAGUAAUGUCUGGGAAGCUGCCUGAUGGAGGGGGAUAACUACUGGAAACGGUAGCUAAUACCGCAUAAUGUCGCAAGACCAAAGAGGGGGACCUUCGGGCCUCUUGCCAUCGGAUGUGCCCAGAUGGGAUUAGCUUGUUGGUGGGGUAACGGCUCACCAAGGCGACGAUCCCUAGCUGGUCUGAGAGGAUGACCAGCCACACUGGAACUGAGACACGGUCCAGACUCCUACGGGAGGCAGCAGUGGGGAAUAUUGCACAAUGGGCGCAAGCCUGAUGCAGCCAUGCCGCGUGUAUGAAGAAGGCCUUCGGGUUGUAAAGUACUUUCAGCGGGGAGGAAGGGAGUAAAGUUAAUACCUUUGCUCAUUGACGUUACCCGCAGAAGAAGCACCGGCUAACUCCGUGCCAGCAGCCGCGGUAAUACGGAGGGUGCAAGCGUUAAUCGGAAUUACUGGGCGUAAAGCGCACGCAGGCGGUUUGUUAAGUCAGAUGUGAAAUCCCCGGGCUCAACCUGGGAACUGCAUCUGAUACUGGCAAGCUUGAGUCUCGUAGAGGGGGGUAGAAUUCCAGGUGUAGCGGUGAAAUGCGUAGAGAUCUGGAGGAAUACCGGUGGCGAAGCGGCCCCCUGGACGAGGACUGACGCUCAGGUGCGAAAGCGUGGGGGGCAAACAGGAUUAGAUACCCUGGUAGUCCACGCCGUAAACGAUGUCGACUUGGAGGUUGUGCCCUUGAGGCGUGGCUUCCGGAGCUAACGCGUUAAGUCGACCGCCUGGGGAGUACGGCCGCAAGGUUAAAACUCAAAUGAAUUGACGGGGGCCCGCACAAGCGGUGGAGCAUGUGGUUUAAUUCGAUGCAACGCGAAGAACCUUACCUGGUCUUGACAUCCACGGAAGUUUUCAGAGAUGAGAAUGUGCCUUCGGGAACCGUGAGACAGGUGCUGCAUGGCUGUCGUCAGCUCGUGUUGUGAAAUGUUGGGUUAAGUCCCGCAACGAGCGCAACCCUUAUCCUUUGUUGCCAGCGGUCCGGCCGGGAACUCAAAGGAGACUGCCAGUGAUAAACUGGAGGAAGGUGGGGAUGACGUCAAGUCAUCAUGGCCCUUACGACCAGGGCUACACACGUGCUACAAUGGCGCAUACAAAGAGAAGCGACCUCGCGAGAGCAAGCGGACCUCAUAAAGUGCGUCGUAGUCCGGAUUGGAGUCUGCAACUCGACUCCAUGAAGUCGGAAUCGCUAGUAAUCGUGGAUCAGAAUGCCACGGUGAAUACGUUCCCGGGCCU